rnacentral:snRNA from 1 species
GUGCUCACUUCAGCAGCACAUAUACUAAAAUUGGAAUGAUACAGAGAAGAUUAGCAUGGCCCCUGGGCAAGGAUGACAUGCAAAUUCGUGAAGCAUUCAUAUCCCAC